AAUAGAGAUGAUGGGAGUUGUAGUCCAGCAACUGCUGGGGACCCAAGAUGGGGAAUGGCUGCCCUAAGAUGGUAGCCCCCAGCAGGGCCGUCAGCAGCGAGCCUACUGCUGCUGCUUUGCCCCCAGUCUGCAGCUUCUAGGCGCACAAGGCAUCUCAAGAGGCCGGCUCUGUUUGCUGAGCUCUCUCGAGCAAGCAUGUCAGUGGAUUCCACAAGAGCUUGCAGGCCAGGUCCCGCAGAGUCAUCUGCAUGCUGCACCCUGGGCUUUUGGGGGGAUGCUGUUGACCUGCUGUGCCCCCCCUGCCCCCCACCAGGAGCGACAUCUUCAAAGGAAACCAAGCAGAUUAAGUACCAUGGCCUGGGAAGAACCCAAACCAUUGGCUUUUAAGGUCUAGAAGUCCUUGAAACCAGCUUAAUGUAUAUUCUAUUAGGGAUCUUCCAGAGAUGCUGGAUAACACCACUUGCCUUUAACAUUUUUUUAAAUUAAUAUUAAGCAGCUUAGAUGUGGUUCACUUUGAAGUGGGGGGAAAAUAGGUGUAAGGUUUAAAAUGCUUUCAUUUUAGUUCACUGGUGGAGCCCUGGGGGAAAGAAACACUCUACAGAAAGGCUGUAAAAGAAAUCCUCCUCCCUUUUUUUCCUUACAGUAUCCCCAUGCUGGGGAAAGCUGCUGCACCUGGUGAGUUUCUGCUUCCCUGUGCUGGGGAAAGCUGCUGCACCUGCUGAGUUUCUGCUUGCCUAUGCCAGGGAAAGCUGCUGCAUCUGUUUUCUUUGUACCAAACUCCUCAUCUUAGAGAAAUUUCCUCUUCUGAAGUUCAACGUGUCUGCUUUAGACUUCCUUGGCGAUUCUCUCCUCGCAUAUAUGCUGAAUUGGAUCACAGGAUGGUCACUGUUCCCUAAAGCUUCCACGACAUUGACAUCUCGCACCAGGUCCUGUGCACCACUCAGGAUUAAAUACAUUCCAAAUAAAUAUGCUAUGAUUGAGCUUGAGCUCAUAAAACCA